GACGAACGCUGGCGGCGUGCCUAACACAUGCAAGUCGCACGAGUCCACUCCUUCGGGAGUGAGGCGAGUGGCGGACGGGUGAGUAACACGUGAGCAAUCUGUCCCGCUGCGGGGGAUAACCCGGGGAAACUCGGGCUAAUACCGCAUGGUCGGCUUCCAGGAUCUGGGAGCCGGGAAAGGUGGCCUCUUUACAAUGCUACCGUGACGGGAGGAGCUCGCGGGCUAUCAGCUAGUUGGUGCGGUCACGGCGCACCAAGGCAACGACGGCUACGGGGUCUGAGAGGACGAUCAGCCACACUGGGACUGAGACACGGCCCAGACUCCUACGGGAGGCAGCAGUGGGAAAUCUUGCGCAAUGCGCGAAAGCGUGACGCAGCAACGCCGCGUGGGGGAAGAAGGUUUUCGGGUUGUAAACCCCUUUNAGGAGGGACGAAGCCUGGUCGGUGAAUAGCCGAGCCAGGUGACGGUACCUCCAGAAGAAGCCCC
rnacentral:rRNA from 1 species